rnacentral:rRNA from 1 species
AUACGUAGGGGGCGAGCGUUGUCCGGAAUGAUUGGGCGUAAAGGGCGCGUAGGCGGCCCGGUAAGUCUGGAGUGAAAGUCCUGCUUUUAAGGUGGGAAUUGCUUUGGAUACUGUCGGGCUUGAGUGCAGGAGAGGUAAGUGGAAUUCCCAGUGUAGCGGUGAAAUGCGUAGAGAUUGGGAGGAACACCAGUGGCGAAGGCGACUUACUGGACUGUAACUGACGCUGAGGCGCGAAAGUGUGGGGAGCAAACAGGAUUAGAUACCCUGGUAGUCCACACUGUAAACGAUGAAUGCUAGGUGUAGGGGGUAUCGACCCCUUCUGUGCCGCAGUUAACACAAUAAGCAUUCCGCCUGGGGAGUACGGCCGCAAGGUUAAAACUCAAAUGAAUUGACGGGG